rnacentral:rRNA from 1 species
UACGGAGGGUGCAAACGUUGCUCGGAAUCAUUGGGCGUAAAGCGCACGUAGGCGGCCUGAUAAGUCGGGUGUGAAAGCCCUGGGCUCAACCCAGGAAGUGCACUCGAAACUGUCAGGCUUGAAUAUGGAAGAGGGUCGCGGAAUUCCCGGUGUAGAGGUGAAAUUCGUAGAUAUCGGGAGGAACACCAGUGGCGAAGGCGACCAUCUGGACGGAUACUGACGCUGAGACGCGAAAGCGUGGGGAGCAAACAGG